AAUCAACGCUGGCGGCGUGCCUCAGACAUGCAAGUCGAACGAUUAAAGCUCUCUUCGGAGAGUGCAUAGAGUGGCGCACGGGUGAGUAACACGUAAGUAAUCUACCUUCGAGUGGGGAAUAACGUUCGGAAACGGACGCUCACACCGCAUAAUGUAGCGGCAUCGCGAGAUGACCGUUGUUAAAGGAGCAAUUCGCUUGAAGAGGAGCUUGCGGCAGAUUAGCUAGUUGGUAAGGUAAUGGCUUACCAAGGCUACGAUCUGUAUCCGGUCUAAGAGGACGGUCGGACACACUGACACUGAAUAACGGGUCAGACUCCUACGGGAGGCAGCAGUCGGGAAUUUUGGGCAAUGGGGGAAACCCUGACCCAGCAACGCCGCGUGAAGGAUGAAGUUUUUCGGAAUGUAAACUUCGAAAGAAUAGGAAGAAUCAAUGACGGUACUAUUUAUAAGGUCCGGCUAACUACGUGCCAGCAGCCGCAGUAACAC
rnacentral:rRNA from 1 species